rnacentral:rRNA from 1 species
GACGAACGCUGGCGGCGUGCCUAAUACAUGCAAGUUGAGCGCUGAAGGUUGGUACUUGUACCAACUGGAUGAGCAGCGAACGGGUGAGUAACGCGUGGGGAAUCUGCCUUUGAGCGGGGGACAACAUUUGGAAACGAAUGCUAAUACCGCAUAAAAACUUUAAACACAAGUUUUAAGUUUGAAAGAUGCAAUUGCAUCACUCAAAGAUGAUCCCGCGUUGUAUUAGCUAGUUGGUGAGGUAAAGGCUCACCAAGGCGAUGAUACAUAGCCGACCUGAGAGGGUGAUCGGCCCCAUUGGGACUGAGACACGGCCCAAACUCCUACGGGAGGCAGCAGUAGGGAAUCUUCGGCAAUGGACGAAAGUCUGACCGAGCAACGCCGCGUGAGUGAAGAAGGUUUUCGGAUCGUAAAACUCUGUUGGUAGAGAAGAAAGUUGGUGAGAGUGGAAAGCUCAUCAAGUGACGGUAACUACCCAGAAAGGGACGGCUAACUACGUG